AACGAACGCUGGCGGCAGGCCUAACACAUGCAAGUCGAGCGCCCCGCAAGGGGAGCGGCGGACGGGUGAGUAACGCGUGGGAACGUACCUUUUGCUUCGGAAUAGCCUCGGGAAACUGGGAGUAAUACCGAAUGUGCCCUACGGGGGAAAGAUUUAUCGGCAAAAGAUCGGCCCGCGUUGGAUUAGGUAGUUGGUGGGGUAAUGGCCUACCAAGCCGACGAUCCAUAGCUGGUUUGAGAGGAUGAUCAGCCACACUGGGACUGAGACACGGCCCAGACUCCUACGAGAGGCAGCAGUGGGGAAUUGUAGACAAUGGGCGCAAGCCUGAUCUAGCCAUGCCUCGUGAGCGAUGAAGGCCUUAGGGUUGUAAAGCUCUUUCGUGGGGGAAGAUAAUGACUGUACCCCAAGAAGAAGCCCCGGCUAACUCCGUGCCAGCAGCCGCGGUAACAC
rnacentral:rRNA from 1 species